CGUUAAAACACUGAUUCCCGUACGAUCAUCGAAAUUAAGCAACGUCGAUCCUGGUCAGUACCUAGGUGGGUGACCGGUUGGGAAUAUCAGGUGCUGUAA